rnacentral:pre_miRNA from 1 species
AUUAUUAACUCUGAUUCUAGAAUUUUUGCGUUAAAGCGAGGACGAGAACGAAAAACACUGUAAGACACUUUAACGCAAAAAUUCCAGAAUCGGAUCCUUAUCC